CUCAGUGACUCGCAGUAACACAGCUCUGUCUUCUGGCUUGAGCAGCAGGGGAUGCCCAGUGUUCCCAGCUGGCCACUCAGUUCUAGCUCUGAACCUGUUCCUGGGUUUCAAACAAGCUCUUGGCUUCUGGAUGGAACGUUUCAGGAACCAGCAGAUAGGCUCAGUCACACAUGUGAGUCAUUCUGACUCCAUGUUCCAGCUGGAAGCGGCUCUUCAAGCUGAAGAAGCUGACAGCAAAAGGUUGGAUGUUCCUCUUGCAGUGCUCAGCAUGCCAUUUGGUGGCUCCUAAGAAGCUUCGGAUGCAGCUGCUUCUCCCCAGAGGAAAUGAGUGGAUCAGGGUGACAUCGCCUCAUCAUGGCCCCAGCACCGACACUCACAGAUCGCAAGACUGCUGCCACUGAGCCUAAUGACCCGACAUCCAUCCCCAGGACUCACGUGGUGGAAAGAGAGAACCAACUCUGGCCGGUUGUCUUCUGAUCACCAAGGGUAUAUACUGUGUCUUCCCAAAUAAAUGAAUUAAUGUAAUGAAAAAUAAAUACGAAAAUAGAGGUGAUAGGAAUUCCUAACAGGCUAGCUAGCAUGAAUAAAACCUGGGAGAAAUAAUAGCAUUAAAGAAAAAUUAUGGGUCACUUGACGCUGCUAGGGCAUAGAGACUGGG
rnacentral:lncRNA from 1 species